GAUGAAGAACGCAGCGAAAUGCGAUAAGUAGUGUGAAUUGCAGAAUUCAGUGAAUCAUCGAAUCUUUGAACGCACAUUGCGCCCCUUGGUAUUCCAUGGGGCAUGCUUGUUCGAGCGUCAUUUGUACUCUCAAGCUUUGCUUGGUGUUGGGCGUCUUGUCUCUAGCUUUGCUGGAGACUCGCCUUAAAGUAAUUGGCAGCCGGCCUACUGGUUUCGGAGCGCAGCACAAGUCGCACUCUCUAUCAGCAAAGGUCUAGCAUCCAUUAAGCCUUUUUUUCAACUUUUGACCUCGGAUCAGGUAGGGAUACCCGCUGAACUUAAGCAUAUCAAUAAGCGGAGGA
rnacentral:misc_RNA from 1 species